AGGGAUCACUUCCUUGUUGAGUGGGACCUGAGUUUUGAGAGGAUCUUCUGCUCCUGUUCAUCUGGGCCCUUUCUUUCAAGACCCCAGAGACGAAGGCAUGUGGUGGGCCCUAGCCCUGCUUCUAGCUUUCCUGUCUCUUGCCAGUCAGAUAUCUACUAACUUGGAAGCGAAAAUAAAGUCAGGCACCAGGCAGAUGGGGUCAUCUGCUGUAAUCACCUGUGAUCUUCCUGUAGAAAAUGCCUUCUACAUCCACUGGUACCUACGCCAGGAGGGGAAGGCCCCACAGCAUCUUCUGUACUAUGACAUCUGCAACUCCAGGGAUAUGUUGGAAUCAGGAGUCAGUCAGGAAAGCAUGAUACUUAUGGAAGUAGAAGGAUAAGCUGGAAAUUUAUACCUCCAAAACUAAAUGAAAAUGCCUCUGGGGUCUAUUACUGUGCCACCUAGGACAGGCAGAGUGAUUCAGACCUGCUCUACACCACACUGAAUAUCUGUCUUGUGGCUGCUUCUGGUACACAAGAGAGAGCCGUCCCCUCUCAUUUCCUGCCCUGAAUUUACUGUAUUCUGUACAAAGAGAAACAGCUUAACUCCUGAUCUCCCCCCUAAUAUUACACUCUCCUGUCAGCAGCUGUACCCUGUUCCCCACCCUCCCCCAGGACUUUCCUGAAGACUAAGCUGCCAUCUCAGCUAAGCCUCAGCUAAGCAGCCUGGCUGAGAGCAAGGUUUUCUCAGCUCUCCUAGGACAUGGGGGAGGCCCACUCACUCUGUUUCUUAGGGUCCAGCUGUGAAGCGAGAUAUUUUGGACAGCAAAUGGGAAGGGUAUUUAUACUGAAUCAUGUAUCCAAUCAUGGUCCAGAGAUCGCAGCUGAGAGUGCUGCUUACUCCUUAUGUCUAUAACAAUAUAGGCAAUAUUAUAAAUACCACUAAAACACUAGGCCUAGAUAUGCAGUUAAACACUCUCUCCCUCUGCCCUCCCUUUUAUUCUCUCUCCUUUCUUACUUCCUUGCUUGCUUUUAUUAUUUUUUCUUCCCUCCCUCCCUCCCUCCCUCUCUCCCUCCCUUCCUUCCUUCCUUUUUUCAUUUCUUCCUUCCUUGCUUUUCUCUCUCUUUCUUUCCUUUUUGGGUACAUAAUCCGAAUAUUUUUUCAACAAAAUCAUUUGAAAUAAUUUUUCUUUACAU
rnacentral:lncRNA from 1 species